AACGGCCGCGCGGUAUGUUGCCGAAAGGUAUUACCGUGAGGAAAGUCCGGGCUUCAAAGGGCAGGAUAGCUGAUAACAUCAGCCGCAGGUGACUGCCGGGAAAGUGCAACAGAAAUAAACCGCCCGCAAGGGUAAGGAUGGAAAGGCGAGGUAAGAGCUCACCCACUCCUAUGGUAACAUAGGUUUGCUGUAAACCCUAUCCGAAGCAACACCGUUUGGGGGUGGCCGGCCCGGCGUAGGCCCCCGGGUGGCGCGGGAGCGAUCCCGAAGCGCCGCGGCGACGCGGCGCGCAGAUAGAUGGCCGUUCAAGACAGAACCCGGCUUAUCGGCAAAG
rnacentral:RNase_P_RNA from 2 species